rnacentral:rRNA from 1 species
GUUUGAUCUUGGCNCAGGAUGAACGCAGGCGGCGUCCUUAACACAUGCAAGUCGUACGGACCCUUCGGGCUUAGUGGCUGACGGGUGAGUAACGCGUCGAGGAUCCGCCCUUAGGAGGGGAACAACAGUUGGAAACGACUGCUAAUGCCCCAUAUGCCGAGAGGUGAAAAGUUAUAUCGCCUAGGGAUGAACUCGCGUCUGAUUAGCUANUUGGUGGGGUAACGGCUCACCAAGGCGACGAUCAGUAGCUGGUCUAAGAGGAUGAUCAGCCACACUGGGACUGAGACACGGCCCAGACUCCUCCGGGAGGCAGCAGUGGGGAAUUUUCCGCAAUGGGCGAAAGCUGACGGAGCAACGCCGCGUGAGGGAGGAAGGCCUURGGGUUGUAAACCUCUUUUCUCUGGGAAGAAGAACUGACGGUACCAGAGGAAUAAGCCACGGCUAACUCCGUGCCAGCAGCCGCGGUAAGACGGAGGAGGCAAGCGUUAUCCGGAAUUAUUGGGCGUAAAGCGUCCGCAGGCGGUUUUUUAAGUCUGUUGUCAAAAGCCCACAGCUCAACUGUGGAUCGGCAAUGGAAACUGGCAGACUUGAGUGUGGUAGGGGUAGAGGGAAUUCCCGGUGUAGCGGUGAAAUGCGUAGAUAUCGGGAAGAACACCAGUGGCGAAGGCGCUCUACUGGGCCACAACUGACGCUGAGGGACGAAAGCUAGGGGAGCGAAAGGGAUUAGUUACCCCUGUAGUCCUAGCUGUAAACGAUGGAUACUAGGUGUUGGACGUAUCGACGCGUGCAGUACCGUAGCUAACGCGUUAAGUAUCCCGCCUGGGGAGUACGCACGCAAGUGUGAAACUCAAAGGAAUUGACGGGGGCUUGCACAAGCGGUGGAGGAUGUGGUUUAAUUCGAUGCAACGCGAAGAACCUUACCAACCCUUGACAUGUCGCGAAUCUUUCAGAGAUGAGAGAGUGCCUUCGGGAGCGCGAACACAGGUGGUGCAUGGCU